CGCCUUGUGAAAAGUCUGACCGGCCAGCUCAAGAGAUCCUGUGGAGAAACCCUGAGACUGCAAAGAGAGGGGAUGAGCCUGGCUGAAUCAGCCUCCCAGCUACACCCACCAAAGGGCCAAACAUCCAAGUAAACUUCUUGGUCCCUCCGGACCAUCAAGCUGCCAGCAGAACACCAUGGAGAGGCCCUUCCAGUCGAUGGCACAUGGAACAGAAGCAUCUCUCAUCCGAGUGGGCUGUACAGUUGCUCCAGCUUCACGUGUUGGAUAGCCAGUUGUUUCUCUGUGGAUUCAGGAUGCAAUUAGUCAAGUUAAGCACCCCGAGGGCGGUCCCCUUGAAUGCUGAUCCCUGCUGUCACAGUGUGGAGACCAGGGUGGGGCAGGAAGUCCUGAUCUGGGAGACCCCAGGCAGUAUUUCAAAACAUGGCUUCCUCACGCCACCAUGCGGGGGAACAUGGUACCCGGGGAGUGAUGGUGGUA